rnacentral:misc_RNA from 1 species
AAGUCUUGUGCCUGUUUUUCUUUAAGCUCAUUAAGCUCAAUCUUAACAGCUUUUAUUUCUUCCUGGAGGCUUUGGACUGAAACAGUUGAUUGUUUUGAAGUCUUCUUUCUACCCAACAUGGCCGUAAGGUCAUAUGUGUUUUUUGCAAUAGAUGGCAGAAUAGAAGGUUUUUGUAUUGGUUGUUCUUCAAAGGUUUUUAAAAGUUUUCCUAAAAAUUCCUUUUGUAGUUGAGAAUCUUCAACCUGUGUAAGGAUUUCUAAGAGUAACUUCUGGUCUUUUGAAAGAACAUUGAU